GUAGGGGGCAAGCGUUGUCCGGAAUCAUUGGGCGUAAAGCGCGUGUAGGCGGUUCGGUAAGUCGGCUGUGAAAGUCCAGGGCUUAACCCUGGGAUGCCGGUCGAUACUGCCGGACUAGAGUCCGGAAGAGGCGAGUGGAAUUCCCGGUGUAGCGGUGAAAUGCGCAGAUAUCGGGAGGAACACCAAUGGCGAAGGCAGCUCGCUGGGACGGUACUGACGCUGAGACGCGAAAGCGUGGGGAGCAAACAGGAUUAGAUACCCUGGUAGUCCACGCCGUAAACGAUGGGCACUAGGUGUGGGAGGUGUCGACUCCUCCCGUGCCGGAGCUAACGCAUUAAGUGCCCCGCCUGGGGAGUACGGCCGCAAGGCUAAA
rnacentral:rRNA from 1 species